UGAUAAAAUACCCUCCCCGUUGGAGUUGGAAUUCUUCUUCUUCUUCCUUCCCACUCCUUCCAUGGGAGCAUUCUUCUUCUCCAUUCUUCUCCCGUUUCUUUCAGAGAGAAGAACCAAGCCGAGAUCUUGUCCGUGAGAGAAUUCUCGUUCUCCGGCUCUCAACAUUUCCUCUCCUUCCGUUAAUUCUUUCUUUCCCCUUCCCUCCUUUUUUUGCUUUCUACCAUUCCUUGUGCCUCUUUAAUUGAUUCCGUUUUGCUUCGCUUGUUGAGGAGGCAAGCAAGAAAGGCGCACCUUUUUGCGGCACUACAGAUCCCUCCUCCGCUGACCGCAAAGGUUGCGGCUUGGGGUGAUGUGGGGAUAUGUAUUCUCCUCCUUCUGUCGCAACUCCUUCCUCCUUCCUCCCCUCCCUCCCCACGCCGAGAUUCGUAGCUCCAUUCCAUGCCAAGAUCGGUUCUUUAGGGGUGCUCCACCCGUCGAGGACUAGAAUCUGCGGGUGGAGGAGUGGGAGGAGGAAGGAGAUCGUCGUGAAAGCGAGGGAGGAGGAGGAUGCGUUUGCGAUGGCGCCAAGGAGUAUGGACGUGGAGGCCGAGAUUUACGAGUUCAUGCGGAGGUCCGCGAAGCCGAUGGACUUCCCAACCAGGGACGAGCUCGUCGCCGCCGGGAGGGCCGACUUGGCGGAGACCGUGGCUGCGCAGGGCGGCUGGCUCACCUUUGGGUGGGAUCUUGAUGAUGGCGGCGAGGAAGUAAUCGAUGGGUCGCAAUCAAUGAGUGACGUCGCUCAAGAAGAUGGUGAAGUCGAUCAAGAAAGGGUUCUUAACGGUUCUUUGGGGACUAAUCCUGCAACUGCUCUGGGUUGUGAGGAUCGUUCCGCUGCCCCAUCUUUUUCCGGGAGAUCAUUGGAGACGGAGAAUCUCGAGGAUGGUGGGGUCGAGGGGAUAUUGAGCAGGCUGGAGAAAGAGAGGAGCUUGUCUCUUGCGCUGGCUUCAAGAGGGAAAGUGGUGAAUGGUCGAGACUCAUGGAGGAAUGCUGUACAUGAUCCAGGAUAUACAGGUGGGAAAUUGGAAGAUGUUAAUGGCACAAAAAGUUCAGUGCCAGACGUGGAGGAGUUGGAGCAUUCAAAGGUUGCUGAAACUGUUCCCACUGAUGACAGAAAGAUGUUAGAGGAUGACUCUUUAAAAGUUGAAUGGAGCACUAUGCAUAUACAAACUCAGAACUCAUUUAUGUCUCAUAAUGGGAUGAAGGAGUCAUUUGCUGACAAAAGUCAGAGACAUUUACAUCUUCAGCACUUGGAGGCAGAUCUUAGCUCUGCACUUUGGUUAGUUAGAUCUAGAGCUAAUGGUGUUGUUUCACAUAAGCACCAAGGAAACUCGAUAGAUGAGCUACAUAGACCUUCUGAUGCUUGGGAAUUCCAAGAGACUGAGAUAGUGAAUGCCCGAGAUAAGUUGCAGUCAGUUCGAGCAAAAUUGGCAGUUUUAGAAGGAAACUUGUCAUUUAAGAUCAUGGAAGCACGAAAAGUAAUGGAAGAGAGACAGAAAAGAAUUGAUGCUGCUCAAAAUGCUUUACAUCUUCUUCGUAUGGCCUAUAUAGUCUGGCCUAAUUCUGCUUCAGAGGUUUUACUUGCAGGGUCUUUUGAUGGGUGGACUGGUCAGGGCUGCCUGCUUGGCAUGAAAGAAUUGGUGAGAGCAGAUGAUGUCCUUGAAUUUUGAUUGGAGGGAGACCUGGAACCUGCUCAUUGGCAAGGGGCCAAAGACACAUGUGAGACAUCAUCCGAGGAAAAGACUAUUCACUUGAGCAUCAAACCACAAAGAAGGAUGGAAAGAUCAAGUUCCUGUAUCUUCACUUUACAGCUAAAAUUGUACCCUGGCCGGUAUGAGUCCAGAUGACAUACUAUCCAAGAACUGGGCAUUUGUUGGGAUGGUGCAAUAACCAAGAGCUUCUGUCCAGAACUGAUGGCUGAAUGCUGAAUUAGAUGGGACUUCAGUACUGGAAGAUCCCAAACCUUGUAAGCAUUUGCAUCUUAAUAUUUGCCCUUUUGAAGCUUUGGAUUAUAAAUAUAUUCUUUGAGAAGUAUGCAUACACAUGUUGAUAUGUACAUUCAUCAAACGUAGACAUCCAUGAAUCUAAUUUUCCUGGGAGUAAAUUCAUAAAUUUAUCUUUUACUUGGCAAAUGCGAUAACCUUACCUCGUGCAGGGUCUUAUGUGCAUUUUGCAUAGAUUUCAUCAAUAAGUUGCAUUGCUGUAAUGCCAUUCCUUUUUUUGGUCUGCCGCUGCAUGCUUAAUGUAGCAAAAUUUGAGAGCUUAAAUGGGAAGAAGAUUCAAGAAGUGCAACACAUCACUAGAGACUUUACCCCUGGUUUAUAUUUCCAUGACCUGUGAAGUCACAAACACAUUCCAUAUUGCAACGCCUGAUCUGUGUUCAGCUGUUUCUUUGGAAAACUUGAUGGAUAGAUGCACGUAGAAAUAUCCUGUUCUUCUCCAAGUUGCAGAUCAACCUAAGCCCAGAGACCAAGAAUGAUGAGUGGGGAUCAACCAUGGAGAAGAGAAUGGUAAGAUAAUGCUGCCAUUGGUGGUAAUUUUGCUGGUGAACUGCAUACAGAGAUCCUCCGCCGCUCUCUGAUCACACCAGGCAGCGACUGCCAUCACGAUGAUGGAAUGGAUGGACCUUUCGAGCCAUGGGACCAUGAUCAGAUCUGGGUCCUCUCAGGGCAUUUUACGUGCUUGAUACAGGGCCCGGAGGUGCCAUGGAUUUGCAGCAAAUCCAUCUGGUUCACUCUGUUCUUUUUGAGUUGCAGUUGCAGCCAUGUCAAGAGUUCUGAACCUGUGAAAACAUGAAGACAAAGUCAGGAGGUUGAAGUAAACAAAACGAUUAGAAGAGAGUUUCUCAUAAACAGUGGUAAAGCAUCAGUGGGCUCGAGCCUGUAGACGAGAAAACACUUGAGCAACCCGGUGGAUUAAGUUACAAGAGUAGGUAGCAGGAGGAAAAGAAAAAGGAUGAUCUUGAUGGAAGAAGAUUCUGAAAAGCUAUGCAUCCACACCAUAAUUUGGUUGCAGUAAUAAUGAACUGUUCAGCUGAUCAUAUGAAUUGGCAGUGGUUGCAACUUGCAAUGCACGAUUAGAACACAUACACAUACUGCUAUUAGUUGAGAAACAUGGCAUAGAUCCCUAUGAGUGUCACAAAGCUGGAACUUACAGAAUGGUGGUGCAGGUUGGAUCUUACCUAAACUUAUCAGUGUAGCAGAGCUCAGAGAUGAGACAGCUGAGGUUAGAUGUUUCCUCCGCUCUUUUUCUAUGUGGGUGCAAUAUGAACUUUUAAGAAUGUUCGGUCCUCAUCUCACGUGAAACAAUUGUUUACAAUUGAUGCAUGCAUCAUGUUUAACGAUGUAUUUAGUUACAACAAUAGGUAGCAGGAGGAGAAGGAAAAGGGUAAUCUUGAUGGAGGAAAAUUCUGAAAAGCUAAGCAUGCACACCAUAAUUUGGUUGCAGUAAGAAUGAACUGUUCAGCUGAUGAUAUGACUUGGCAACGGUUGAAUGCACGAUUGGAACACAUAUACACAUACUGCUAUUAGUUCAGAAAGAUGGCACAGUUUCUUAUGUGUAACAAAGCUGGAACUUACAGAAUGGUGAUGCAGGUUGGAUCUUACCUGAACUGAUUAGUCUCGGAGAGCUCAGAGAUGAGAGAGCUGAGAACACAGCAGCAGCUAGGAGAAUGGAACAAGAGCAUAAACCCUAGAACAAGUUUGCCUAGAAGGAAGAAGGGAAAGGAAGGGAAUGAAGAGCUCCCAUCAUUCAUCUGCAGGAGACAUGAAGCAUCGGUUCUCCUUCUUCUUCAGUACCGCUGCUGAUGCUGCUGCUGCUGCUGGAUCGUCUCCUCGAGCUCCUUCUUGUCGGCACCGACAACUCUGCCAACCUCCUUCCCUCUCUUUACCAGCACAAAAGUCGGCACCACCUCCACGUCCCACUUCUCCGCCACCUCCUGCGGUAGAUCACCCCAACCGUAAGCUCUUCAGUUUGAAGUGGCAUAAACUGAUGGUAGUGAAGCAGAUAGAGUGGAACUCACCAUGAGCUUGUCGACGUCAAUCUUGACAAACUCGAUCUCAGUGUACCUUGCCGCCAUGGCAUUGAUCUCCGGCUCGAUGAAACGGCAUGGCCCGCAAUUGGACGACGAGAAGUCAAUCACCAUCUUGCAAUGCAACAAGUGGAGUCAUCAAGAAGAUGAAGACUGCAAAAGGUUGGGGUUUGGAUUGGUGGGUAUUAGUAUGUACCAGCUUGUUGGAUGCCAAAUGCGACUGCCAGUGCUGGUUCCAUUUUCCUUUGCUGUGGAUUGUGAUGACCAGACUGCUGCUUGUCCUGGAGAACAAAUUACCCAUUCUUCCUCUUAGCUUCAGAGAAGUGUUCUUUCCACAACAAACAAAUUGAGCUAUCUUUGUCUGAUCUAAGUCCUUUAAAUACAGUGGAGAAGCUGAUGAAAUCCAUAUGUUUCAGUGCAGCAGAACUUGGUGCUGGUAUCUGAUUCUUAGCUCUACGAACCAAGGAAAAAAGCAGAUGGAAUUUCCACCCUGAACAGAAGAAUUAGAUUCUGGUAGACUAUGAACGGAAGUGAUUCCAUACAUAUUGGAGGAGAUGUUCUUCUGUGUGAACUGUGCACAGGAAUCAAAACCUUGCGUUCCUCGUGCAAUGAGAGUGCAACACAAACUGGUCUUGUAAUCCAUGACAUAAAGAGUGUGAAGGGAGAAACAAAUGGGGGAUUCUUAUCACUUAGGCAUAAUGGCAACACCAGGAAAAUCCACAAACAGAUUGAAAGGAGAAGAAUGACUUUAGCAUGACCUCUGGAGAAAGAUCACCAAACUAUGUGGUUGUACUCUCUACUCUCUGGUUGUGAUGAAGGAUUAAAUUGGCAGUUCAUCAUGCAACUACUCUCUUCCUCUUCCUCUUUUGAAUGCUUGUGCAUUGCUUCCAGGAGGAUUAAACCACCACCAAGCUAGGCCUUGGUUACCAAUGUCUUCCCUCAGAGUGUUUGCAGCUUAAUCUUCCAGUUAUAAUGUGUAGUACGGAUGACUAAUUUGGAUUGGCAUCCUCAUUGUUUAUAUGUUUGUUUGGAUGAAAAAGAUACACCUGUGUUAGGUAAAAUUCAUCAGAUCUCAUGAACAUGUUGAUCUCACAAGAUGGGUGUCAAAUUGUCUGAUUAGUGUUGGGCUAAACAUUUCAUGCUCCCCCAUGUUUUUUAAGUUGGAGCUUCAAACACUGUCCUCUAUCCUAAUAUUGCUCUCGAGAAAGCAUGUUUACCUUUGAAAAAUGAA